CAAUCUGUGCCACGGAAACCAGU
rnacentral:siRNA from 1 species